rnacentral:lncRNA from 1 species
GGGCAUUUUGAUUAAAGGAUAUUUCAACCUAUGAAUCUUGUGUAGGUGGUAAAAUGAAACAUUGCUCUUAAACAAGUGAAAACCUUCAUUCCCAAGUUUAAAAGGGAAGCUAACAAUGUUAGGUUUUGGCAAAGAAAUUAAAUUGUGGGAAACUAACCACUUCUAGUAGGACUUUGUCUUGACUUCCCUCUAAGACAAAGUUUUCAUUUGGUUUUAUGGUUUAGAUCAUAAGGAAUUCUUUUCCUUUUGAACAAUGUCAUACAAAAUUGACAAUCUUUGUAAUGAUACUUUAGUUUCUUAUAAACUAACAUUUAUCAUUCUUAUAUUCCUUCUUUUCAACUUUAAAAGACUCAUUGAUGACUUACAUGAUGAACUAAAUGAGAACGUUGUUGAUGCAACCUUCUUUUGCACAAACAUACUAGUCAAUUUAUUAAUAUUCCACUUAGAUAAUUCAUUUGAAGUAAUCGAUAUUAUUUUGGAAGCAAUGAAUUGAGUAUGAAUUGUGAUAGAAAACACUCAUGCACUUUCAUCCUUGAAUCCUUAGCGUUGUUGCUAGGUUUGUUGUCUCAAGGAUGUGCUCAUGUAUGCCACGUGAACUAUCAAAUUUCAUGUUGGUAAACUUGGCCAUAUAUCUUAGCAAGAGACUUAUAAUUAGUUUAGAAUGUUUUUUGAAAUUUUUUAUAAAUUCCUUACCACUUUCAAUUUUAGGAAGAGUAGUCUUGAUAUUUGGUACAAAAUCACUAGCAUAAAAAUUAAACUUAAUGUGUUUGAGUUUUCGUAAACCUUAUGGAAGACCCUUUCUCCACUUCUAGCUUUCAAUCAACAAUAGCAAUAACUUUCUUAGUUGGAUGAAACUAGAUUUGUUCACAUUAGUAUUAGAAAUUUAAGUUAUUAAAUAAGGAAAUAGAAGAAACACCUAUGAGGAGAAACAAUAUUGAUAGGUACCGUAAAUUACAACAAAAUAUAUUAAAUUUAUGGUUUGGGUGCCAACUUUAAAACAUAAAACCAUAAAUUAGAUCCAAGGCAUACAUCAAAAGAAAAAAAAUAAAAAUAAAAAUACAUAGAGCUCCACUUUGGAUGAUAAUGCAACACACAACAUUAAGUAUUGUGAUACAAAUUUUGUUCUACUUCAUUUGAUAACUAAAUGCACAUUCGGCAGACAUGUUUGCUAUCUUAAGAUAUACAAAACAAAUCUAAUAGGGUAAUAUCAAUACUUUACUAAUGUUUAUUAUUUAUAGAAAUAAUUGGUCUAUGUUGGCCAAUCUUUAAACAUCUUCUAAAUAAUCAACUUUAGUAUACCAAUGAUACAUUAUGUCUUUUUCAUUUAUAACUAUUAACAAUUCAUGGGCAACCCAAUAUUUUAAAUGUAAAAGCUUGAUGUCUAUGAAUUUUUCGGGUUUGGUCACUUUGAUGACUAACAAACUAACUAAUUCUUGUUAACUAUAGUCUAUAGCCAAUUCACCGGUAAUAUAUACUUUUGAAUUUAAUUUUUCUUAGCCAUGGAUGAGUCAUGGGUUAACAAGAUAAAGCAAAUAUAUAUACAUACAUACAUACAUAUAAGCACACUAUAACAAAAUGGAACUUAAGGAUAGAUGUUAAUCUAAAUCUUAGGACUUUAUGAUUUUUACAAACCUAAAAAAUAAAGGUAGUAUACGUACCUUGAUCCAUAGGUAUAGACUUGGAAACACAAUUUUCUAGAAGCCAAAUGAAGAAAUUGUAUCUCUCUCUCUUCCAUGCCCCUGAGCUGCUUUUUAUAGCAUGAAGAAAGGGCCAAUUUUCUUCAAUAAUUAAAAUUCUACUUUCCAUCAAAAUGCAAUUAUUUAUCAAACACUUCACUUACACUAAAGGAUCAACAACACCAGAAACACCCAAUAUUCAUCUAUGAUAUGCAAGAAUGGGAAAAUGAUAUAUGCAAGAAGAUUUUCAAAAUCCCAUAAACUGGUAAUUUCCUUAUUACACUAAAGUUUCCAUUUUGAAAAAUAAAUACAAUGGAAUUUUCAUUAGAGAUAGUUUAUCAUUAAAAGGUAUUAUCAAAAUACUUAAUAAUUUGAUGGAAAUAAAUUUAUUUGAAAAUGUUUCCCACAUAAAAUAUUUAUUGAUUGGAGUUGUUUAAGAUAAGGAGAAUUUUUUUUUGUAUGAAAAUAGAUUUUAAAAUUUGAUAGUAGAUAUUCUAUCAAAAUUUAUUUUUGGAAUAAAAUACUAUAAUAGAAAAUUUAAAAAUUUCAGGAUCACAUUAUCCUAUUAUACUAAAUUUUCAAUUAAGAAAUUAAUAUAUUUAAAAAAUUUCAAAGAAAAUAAUUUAUUUAUCAAGGUAAUUACUAACGUUUUAAAAGACUUAAUUCAUGCACUCAAAAUAUUAAGUGGGAGAAGGCCUUUGGAAAGGUCACAACCUUUGUUGUUGAACCCAUCUUGAUUUGGAUUCAUCACCAUCCCACUGAUGGGUUGUACCCUAUGGUGGAAGCAACCACCCCACGGAUGGGGUCUUCACUUGGUGACAUUGAUGUCAAGGUCAAGGGUUAUACACUUAACUUGGAUAUGAAGUGGUUGAAUCACUCAUCGCUAGUCCCACUUGCAUAGUCUAAGGACCAAACUUUAAGGUAUGUUGAUUUUUUGCUAAACUAUUGUUUGUCUUGAAUGCUCAAUUAUAUUAAAUGCAUGGUUGUUUUCUUUUUAUAGAUAUCAUGCUUGUUUGUUAUCACUUUCUUUCUCACAUUGAACUAAACCCAACUAUUCUUUUGGACUAAACAAAUAUUUUGGAUUUAGUAAAUAAUACCAUAGAAGCUAAUUGAAGUGAAGCUACCUAUUCCUUAUGAACAAACCUAGUAGGAAGAAAGAGUGGUAUAUUAAAUGUGAUAUAAGACGAAUAAGAAAACCAAGUCUUUCAUACUUGGAUCUUUGGAUAAUGUGUUGUCAUAACAACACAUAUCAUUACCAAGGAUUUUGAAUUAUCUUUUUAUUUUGUAAGGUUUAUUUGGUGCUAAGGGCAAGUUAGCUUCGAUAAGCUACCCCAAAGACUAUUAUGAACACUAAGUUUUAUAUGAUCAUAGAGAAGUUAUCAAAUUCCUUCGAGAUGGUUAAGAUGAUUCUCAAAGAUUAUAUAUGAAGAUGUUUAUAUGAGAGUCAAGGGUUCUUCAGGUUCUCCUAUCAAGAAAAAGAAGAACAUCAAAUUAAGAAAGUUUAGGAGAAUGAAUAAAAAAACAAGCUUAUAGGUGUAAGUGAUUUCUUUAUGCCCUUCUAGGACACUAGAAAGGGAGUGCCUAGUUUAACUAUGGAAAAAAGAAAGUACACAUUCUCAUUGUUGAAUGUACAACGAUGGAUUUCACCAAUUAGGGUGGAUAGAUUCUAGGAGAAGGUUGCAUGCUGAGAUUGUACUUACCUUAGUUUUAGUUGCAAAGUUAGUUGUGCAGAUAUUAUUAUUAUUAUUAUUAUUAUUAUUAUUAUGACUCUAUUAUCACUUUGCCAAGUAAUGAGAAUAGUCAUAUCUCACUAAAAGAAUGAAUUUAGCACCAAUCAAACAUCUAGCUUCUAAAGUGUAGGGGGCAUUUUGAUUAAAGGAUAUUUCAACCUAUGAAUCUUGUGUAGGUGGUAAAAUGAAACAUUGCUCUUAAACAAGUGAAAACUUUCAUUCCCUAGUUUAAAAGGGAAGCUAACAAUGUUAGGUUUUGGCAAAGAAAUUAAAUUGUGAGAAACUAACCACUUCUAGUAGGACUUUGUCUUGACUUCCCUCUAAGACAAAGUUUUCAUUUGGUUUUAUGGUUUAGAUCAUAAGGAAUCCUUUUCCUUUUGAACAAUGUCAUACAAAAUUGAUAAUCUUUGUAAUGAUACUUUAGUUUCUUAUAAACUAACAUUUAUCAUUCUUAUAUUCCUUCUUUUCAACUUUAAAAGACUCAUUGAUGACUUACAUGAUGAACUAAAUG